rnacentral:rRNA from 1 species
UUCGGGAUGAUGAAUUUAGUGACUUAGUGGCGGACGGGUGAGUAACGCGUGGGUAACCUGCCUUACACAGGGGGAUAACAGUUAGAAAUGACUGCUAAUACCGCAUAAAACAGCAGCACCACAUGGUGCAACUGUCAAAGAUUUAUCGGUGUAAGAUGGACCCGCGUCUGAUUAGCCAGUUGGUGGGGUAACGGCCUACCAAAGCGACGAUCAGUAGCCGACCUGAGAGGGUGACCGGCCACAUUGGGACUGAGACACGGCCCAAACUCCUACGGGAGGCAGCAGUGGGGAAUAUUGGACAAUGGGCGAAAGCCUGAUCCAGCGACGCCGCGUGAGCGAUGAAGUAUUUCGGUAUGUAAAGCUCUAUCAGCAGGGAAGAAAAUGACGGUACCUGACUAAGAAGCCCCGGCUAACUACGUGCCAGCAGCCGCGGUAAUACGUAGGGGGCAAGCGUUAUCCGGAUUUACUGGGUGUAAAGGGAGCGUAGACGGAAGUGCAAGUCAGAAGUGAAAGCCCGGGGCUUAACCCCGGGACUGCUUUUGAAACUGUGCAUCUAGAGUGCAGGAGAGGUAAGCGGAAUUCCUAGUGUAGCGGUGAAAUGCGUAGAUAUUAGGAGGAACACCGGUGGCGAAGGCGGCUUACUGGACUGUAACUGACGUUGAGGCUCGAAAGCGUGGGGAGCAAACAGGAUUAGAU